UGUUAGCUCAUCAACCAGGGGACUGGAGCAGCUGUCACUGAGAAAAGGCUAACACGUCCACUGUACUGGGAUCGGGGAAGAAGUGCCAGCACGGCAAGACAGCUGAGAAAACAACACAAAGAUGCACCAACCCUCACAGAUUCUUCAAAGUCGGACACCAGCGGUUAUCACAGCGCUUGACUGGUUGGAGGUCACUACGGAUACAACAAGGAGCAACACAGCCUGAACCACAGACCGAGAGGAGUGUAGGAGUUGAGUGACACGAUGGAGAAGGCAAAGACGCAAAGAUGAGACAAGUUUGACAUCCGUGACGGCUAAGAGGAGAGUUUUCGGACUUGUGAUUAGACUUUUCACAGUUAUAUUAUUAAUCCAUUUUACAUAAUGCUCAUCGUUUCCUGUUUUUAGCCUGUCGGUACUGUGUGUGUGUUUGGCUUUCGCACUCACGCCUCUUCCAGCCUCUUUUAUUCCCUCCCUCCCCAUCCCGCCUCCCUGUUCUCUCCCAAUCUGAUUACUCUGCUUUAUGCAAACUGCAGCUCUCUCCGUCUCUCCCCCUUGUGUAUUCCCCUUUCGCUUUUACAUCCCAAUUACAAACAUGUAGUUGACUCCUGCCUACUCUCAGC
ensembl:lncRNA